rnacentral:rRNA from 1 species
AACGAAGGCUGGCGGCAUGCCUAACACAUGCAAGUCGAACGAGACCUUCGGGUCUAGUGGCGCACGGGUGCGUAACGCGUGGGGACCUGCCCUUAGGUUCGGAAUAACUCCCCGAAAGGGGUGCUAAUACCGGAUAAUGUCUUCGGACCAAAGAUUUAUCGCCUUUGGAUGGGCCCGCGUUGGAUUAGCUAGUUGGUAGGGUAAAAGCCUACCAAGGCGACGAUCCAUAGCUGGUCUGAGAGGAUGAUCAGCCACACUGGGACUGAGACACGGCCCAGACUCCUACGGGAGGCAGCAGUGGGGAAUAUUGGACAAUGGGCGAAAGCCUGAUCCAGCAAUGCCGCGUGAGUGAUGAAGGCCUUAGGGUUGUAAAGCUCUUUUACCCGGGAUGAUAAUGACAGUACCGGGAGAAUAAGCUCCGGCUAACUCCGUG